UCGUAGUUGGAUACAAAUAGGCCUUCAGGCAUGGACCUCAGCAGGCUGGCGACGGCCCCCAAUGAGAAGCCCCUGGGAGCUGGCUACCGGAUUGCAAUGUCACCUCGCGCGGUGAUUAAUCCUCUGCAGACGACUGAAGUGACCAAGCGGGUCGUGUAAGCCGUCAAGUAGCCUUGUUGCUACGAGUCGCUGAGCGUCACCCGAUCCUUGGCUAGAUUU
rnacentral:rRNA from 1 species